rnacentral:lncRNA from 1 species
CUGGCGGUACACAGCAUCUCGCGCCUGCACCUGACCCGAACGGUGUGAUUCUUGCUGAAAGCAGUGUCAAUCGAAACUGCUAGUUUCUGCAAUAUUGGGACACUUGCAGAUCUCUGUGGAAAUAAUCAGCUGACAUGCAAGUAUACGUUCCUAACUCACAAGGGAGGAAAAGAAGGAACAGAAAAUUGUCUUUGCGCUGGAUUCAAUAUUGACAUCUCUGGCUUUGCCAAACAGGCCCAGGCCGUCUCCGUACAGCAAAGCACUGUCCCUCCCUUAGACCUGCCUGCCGCCGUUCUUCCAAAACGCAAUCUUUGCUGAGCGUGCUCUUCCCGGGUUGGAAGCU